GUGCCAGCCGCCGCGGUAAUACGUACCGGACGAACGUUAUUCGGAAUUACUGGGCUUAAAGAGUGCGUAGGCGGCUUUGAAGGUGGGGUGUGAAAGCCCACGGCUCAACCGUGGAAUUGCGCUCCAAACCGCAAGGCUUGAGGAAGACAGAGGUGAGCGGAACUGAUGGUGGAGCGGUGAAAUGCGUUGAUAUCAUCAGGAACACCCGUGGCGAAGGCGGCUCACUGGGUCUUAUCUGACGCUGAGGCACGAAAGCUAGGGGAGCGAACGGGAUUAGAUACCCGCGUAGUCC
rnacentral:rRNA from 1 species